rnacentral:rRNA from 1 species
AGCAGUCGCCGCGGUAAUACGUAGGUGGCAAGCGUUGUCCGGAAUUAUUGAGCGUAAAGGGCUCGCAGGCGGUUUCUUAAGUCUGAUGUGAAAGCCCCCGGCUCAACCGGGGAGGGUCAUUGGAAACUGGGAAACUUGAGUGCAGAAGAGGAGAGUGGAAUUCCACGUGUAGCGGUGAAAUGCGUAGAGAUGUGGAGGAACACCAGUGGCGAAGGCGACUCUCUGGUCUGUAACUGACGCUGAGGAGCGAAAGCGUGGGGAGCGAACAGGAUUAGAUACCCGCGUAGUCCCUGUCUCUUAUAC